rnacentral:rRNA from 1 species
AUUGAACGCUGGCGGAAUGCCUAACACAUGCAAGUCGAGCGGGGUGUAGCAAUACACCUAGCGGCGGACGGGUGAGGAACACACAGGAAUCUACCUUUUAGUGGGGAUAGCCCGGGGAAACCCGGAUUAAUACCGCAUGAUCUCGCAAGAGCAAAGCGGGGGACCGUAAGGCCUCGCGCUGAAAGAUGAGCCUAUGUCGGAUUAGCUAGUUGGCGGGGUAAAAGCCCACCAAGGCGACGAUCCGUAGCUGGUCUGAGAGGACGAUCAGCCACACCGGAACUGAGACACGGUCCGGACUCCUACGGGAGGCAGCAGUGGGGAAUAUUGGACAAUGGGCGCAAGCCUGAUCCAGCAA